GACGAACGUUGGCGGCGUGGAUUAGGCAUGCAAGUCGCGGGAAUCCCAGCAAUGGGGGAACCGGCGUAAGGGGCAGUAAUGCGUGGGUACCUACCCCGGGGUCCGGGAUAGCCGUCCGAGAGGGCGGGUAAUACCGGAUGACCUCGGGAGAGCAAAGCUCCGGCGCCCCGGGAGGGGCCCACGUGAUAUUAGCUAGUUGGCGGGGUGACGGCCCACCAAGGCGGAGAUGUCUAGCGGGUGUGAGAGCACGACCCGCGCCACUCGCACUGAGACACUGGCGAGACACCUACGGGUGGCUGCAGUCGAGGAUCUUCGGCAAUGCGCGCAAGCGCGACCGAGCGACGCCGCGUGGGCGAUGAAGGCCUUCGGGUUGUAAAGCCCUGUCGAGGGGGAGAAAAGCUCGAAAGAGUGUGAUCUAUCCCUGGAGGAAGCUCGGGCUAAGUUCGUGCCAGCCGCCGCCGUAACAC
rnacentral:rRNA from 1 species